rnacentral:sRNA from 1 species
UGGGGCAGCUGGUCUGUGCUGCCGAGGAAUUGGAAUGUGUGCUUCUGGCAAGAUAUCCAGCAGACAUCUUGGGACACUGCGGUGCUGAAGCUAGCAAGUUGUUAUAAAUAUGACCAGCAAUCGCUUCUCGGCCUUUUGGCUAAGAUCAAGUGUAGUAUAAAUAUGACCAGCAGAGAAAAAUAUAUGUGCCAAAUGGCCUCUCCACUGGAAAAUAUAAUAUUACCCACAGUUGUUCAAACCCUCCAUUGUGGAUGUGUUUUCACGAGUACACGUAAAGAGUGGCUGCUGAGUGGAAAAGAUGCUGCUGGGUUUCAGUGAAUCCGUCCCUGUUAUUUCUUUUACUCUUCCAUAUCAGUUCCAUUGAAUGAAAUCAGGACAGGAGCGCAAACAGGGAGGGAAGCUGGAGGCAGGACAUGCUGCAAGGCCAUGGAGGAGCGCUGCUUAGUCUCGUGAUUGUUCUUUUAUGUUAGUCAGUUUGAACUGAAAAUAAAUGGGAAAUGAGUGAA